GCUAGAAUGUUUUGGUAAAAGAACUAGAUAACAGGCAGUGAAAUGAAAAACAAUUGAUGUCAACUUCUCUCACAGUUACGCUGAGAACUCUGGGAAGAAGAAGAAAACAUUCUCCAUUUUGUCUCUCACUCUUGCUUUGGCCUUAGACCUGGUCACAUCUCAUUAACCCUGCUCCUACUAACCUUGCUCCCUAACCUCUUGGCUGCAUCUCUCUUCUUCCUGAGAACUGGGGCUGCUGCUGUUGGGCAGUGAUGAAAAAAAAAACAGAAAAAAAAAAGAGUGGUUGGUUCAUCUCAUUACAUUGAACCUCACUGGCUCAACCUUCAAAAAGACUGUGAGCAACCCAGCUGAACGAUUAGCACAAACCUGGGGCUGGGCACCACUGGUGGUGGGUACUGUGACCUCAGUGUGCGCUUUCCUCACCUACAUUUAAGAAAUAAAUUGGUAAAAACA